AGAGCUCAAAUUUGUAAUCUGACGGUCCACGGCCGUCCGAGUUGUAAUCUGGAGAAGCGUUUCGAGCGCCGGCCCGCGUACAAGUCCCCUGGAAUGGGGCGUCGCAGAGGGUGAGAAUCCCGUCUCUGACGCGGUUCGGCGCUCUCGAAGAGUUGAGUUGUUUGGGAAUGCAGCUCAAAACGGGUGGUAAAUUCCAUCUAAAGCUAAAUACAGGCGAAAGACCGAUAGCGAA
rnacentral:rRNA from 1 species